UUGUACAUUCUUACAACAUAGAAUUAAUGUAGUGGAUUCCAGUAUAACUCCAUAGUUAAGCAUUCUUAGGUUAGAGUAGUAUUGGGAUGGGUGGCUGCCCAAUAAGUCCUAUUGUUUUACAUU
rfam:Picea glauca, whole genome shotgun sequence.